UCUUGAAUGGGUUGGAUCUCAGGCUCGGAUUCCCUGACUGUGAGCCGCACAGGCUUACCCCAGUCAUUUCAUUACCUUCACAACAAUGUGAUCCAGCAUUUGAUGCGGCUGAAAUUUUUAGACCCUACAUUUCACAUUUUGGUAAGGAUUUCAGGGCAUUUUCAAUUGAGAGAAGAAAACUAAAGCCCGGAGAAGGAAGACAAAUGUAAGAUAAUUUGAAUCUGCUGACUCAUCAGUGCAUGAAGUGGUUCCUUGGUGGAGAGGGAAGAAGAUUGGGUUUACAGGGGAAGGAAGGAUGGAAUCCUGGCCUUCACAUUUCAAGUUUCUAGAACAGGCAUUCACAAAAGAGUGAGAAGCAGAAAAGGCAUAAAAGAAGACCAUCUGAGCAAGAAGAAAGCCAUCCUACUGGCUUAUUUCAUAAGCAAUGCACAACAUCUGGAGAAGUGGUGGCAUCAUCGGAACAGCCCUAUUAACAGAAGAUAGGAACCCAAGGAGGUGAAGGUGGAAUAGACAAGAUCACCAGAGAAAGAGAGUCAGAACUUCAUGUGAGAUCAAGGGAUGGAGCAGGAGGAGAUUACUUCAGUUCUUGGAAUGAAUUGUUCUUUCAGACAAGAAGCACACCUUAAACUCAAAUCGAGAAAAAUAUUUCCUAUAGAAGAAACUCAUAAACUCCAUAUUCUCUUGACAAUCCAUCUGGGCCACCCACCUGAUCAUGAUUGCCUACACAGUGGCAGAAUGAUGGCAUUUAGAAGAGACUCAAAUUCUUCUCCUCAGUCACUGUCCAUACGAAGGGUUCAGACAAAAUGUGUCAAAGACAGAAACGUGGUGAAGUCAUGCUGAACAACAUUUGAACUAUAACACUAGACCUCUGCAAAUGGAACGUUUCUUCAAGGAGAAUCAACAGUAGUGAAGAUCUGGACCAUCCCUGAUGCUCUCUCUGCAGCUUUGACCAAGAACAGAACUAAAGAGAGGAAAGGAAAAAAACAGGAAAAGUCCUCACCCAGCUUGGAACCGAUCUCCUUCAGAAUCCAGCCAAACUCAUAUCGGGAUUUUGAGGAGUGUUUGUUAUGGAAUUGUGUUGUCUGCUGAGGAAAUGUUGGGAUGCUUGCUGCCUUAGGAGUGUAUUUGUGUGGAUUCCAACGUAAGAGGGGAGUAAAGUUACCUACAGAAGUUUGUUGACUGGAGUGAGUCCACCACAGAUCAGCUGACUUUCGAAAUAUGAGGCAACUGUCAAUUGAUUUGCUUUCAGAAGAAUGUUCACUGUAAUGAUUUGUCAUUAAUCAAUUAAACAUGA
rnacentral:lncRNA from 1 species